CAGACGGCCCUGUAACAACGGGCCGCCCCCGCCAGAGGACCCCUAACUCUGUUUUUAUAAUGUUUUUCUGAGUAAACAAGCAAAUAAAUUAAAACUUUCAACAACGGAUCUCUUGGCUCUGGCAUCGAUGAAGAACGCAGCGAAAUGCGAUAAGUAAUGUGAAUUGCAGAAUUCAGUGAAUCAUCGAAUCUUUGAACGCACAUUGCGCCCGCCAGUAUUCUGGCGGGCAUGCCUGUUCGAGCGUCAUUACAACCCUCAGGCCCCCGGGCCUGGCGUUGGGGAUCGGCGGAAGCCCCCUGUGGGCACACGCCGUCCCUCAAAUACAGUGGCGGUCCCGCCGCAGCUUCCAUUGCGUAGUAGCUAACACCUCGCAACUGGAGAGCGGCGCGGCCAUGCCGUAAAACACCCAACUUCUGAAUGUUGACCUCGAAUCAGGUAGGAAUACCCGCUGAACUUAAGCAUAC
rnacentral:rRNA from 1 species